rnacentral:tRNA from 1 species
CGCAGGUUGGAGAAGCGGUAUCUCAUUACGCUCAUAACGUAAAGAACGGUGGUUCGAUUCCACCACCUGCAA